AAAUACUUGGACUGUGUAUAUGUGUGUGUGUUAGGGCGUGCACGUGCAUGUGUGUGCCUAUAAUCAUAGUUCGCUGUGUGUAGAUUUUUUAUGCUGAUACAGUUCUAGGUUCAGCAAAAUGCUCCCAAAUCCUGACCUUUACUAUAAGGAGGGAAAACACAAAACUGCCCUUAGAUCAGUGUCUAAUGGCAACAACUUCAUCAUACUUGCUGUGUUACAUCUCCCUCGUGUGGUUAUUCAAGGGAAGUGGAACACUGUUGAACUGAAACAGUGAUUUCCUUGGAGCUGUUAGAAUGAGACAGUUUAUGGGUGCGUUUGAGUGGUAAGACUAAAGCAACCGACUGUAGCUGAAAGUGGAGAAGUGAGGUCGGGGGAGGUGUGUCUGCUACAGCAGAAAGGGGAACAGCAAGGCUCGGUGAAACACGGCAGGGUUCAUUGUUUAGAAAAGCUUUUCUUUGUCAUGUCGAUCCCCAUAUCACACAAUCACAAACUCUAAAUAUAUGUGUGUAAAUUGUACUAUCAAUUGGGGAGAGAGAGACUCAAAUAUCACAUUCAUUUGAACAUAUCCACUGUAUACAUAUGAAUCCCUGCAGAGAGGACGAGGCGAAGCGAUCGAAUUUACUCUACCCAAAAUCUGUCCACGUGAGAUGAGCUCUUUUUUGUAUCGAGGUCUAUGAGAGAUUGUCGAAUUAAGUGAGGCUUAUUUAAUAGAAUAGAAGUUUCAUAAUGUUUAAGCUGUUACAAAUGUACUAAUAUAAGUGGAUGCACAUUAGUGCCUGUUGUUCACACGCAUAUCUGCCCUCUCAUUGGCUAGAAUGGUCCCACCUGAUCUCGCCUGCCUUCAAAUCAUUAAGGACAGUAUUUCCAUUGUUAGAGCGGUCACUCGACUAUCUUGUCAAUAUAAUAGAUCAUCUUUGAAUGCGGCAAAGUUGCUUCCUGUUUCAGUCACGUCUUUGGUCCCGUUCGCGUGGGUCAAACAAAAGCCCUCUAAUGAUUGGUUGACGAUAGAGCCUCCCACAAUGCAGGAGAUGACUGAAGGCUGCUGCUGGUGAGGAGCAACUGCAGAAGAUUGAAGUCACUGCAGUCAAAACUUCAUGACCUUUGAUCACAUAUAUUGAUUGUAGAGGUCAUGUAGUUGACAUGUAGGCAUCAAGUCUGACCAUUUUUAUCCCACUAAGACACACAACUAGAUUCAUCCUAUAACUUUCCUACCAGGCUCCCAGUACAGCAGGUAUCAUCAACUAGAUUCAUCCUAUAACUUUCCUACCAGGCUCCCAGUACAGCAGGUAUCAUCAACUAGAUUCAUCCUAUAACUUUCCUACCAGGCUCCCAGUACAGCAGGUAUCAUCAACUAGAUUCAUCCUAUAACUUUCCUACCAGGCUCCCAGUACAGCAGGGAUCAUCAACUAGAUUCAUCCUAUAACUUUCCUACCAGGCUCCCAGUACAGCAGGUAUCAUCAACUAGAUUCAUCCUAUAACUUUCCUACCAGGCUCCCAGUACAGCAGGGAUCAUCAACUAGAUUCAUCCUAUAACUUUCCUACCAGGCUCCCAGUACAGCAGGUAUCAUCAACUAGAUUCAUCCUAUAACUUUCCUACCAGGCUCCCAGUACAGCAGGUAUCAUCAACUAGAUUCAUCCUAUAACUUUCCUACCAGGCUCCCGGUACAGCAGGUAUCAUCAACUAGAUUCAUCCUAUAACUUUCCUACCAGGCUCCCAGUACAGCAGGUAUCAUCAACUAGAUUCAUCCUAUAACUUUCCUACCAGGCUCCCAGUACAGCAGGUAUCAUCAACUAGAUUCAUCCUAUAACUUUCCUACCAGGCUCCCAGUACAGCAGGGAUCAUCAACUAGAUUCAUCCUAUAACUUUCCUACCAGGCUCCCAGUACAGCAGGUAUCAUCAACUAGAUUCAUCCUAUAACUUUCCUACCAGGCUCCCAGUACAGCAGGUAUCAUCAACUAGAUUCAUCCUAUAACUUUCCUACCAGGCUCCCAGUACAGCAGGUAUCAUCAACUAGAUUCAUCCUAUAACUUUCCUACCAGGCUCCCAGUACAGCAGGUAUCAUCAACUAGAUUCAUCCUAUAACUUUCCUACCAGGCUCCCAGUACAGCAGGUAUCAUCAACUAGAUUCAUCCUAUAACUUUCCUACCAGGCUCCCAGUACAGCAGGUAUCAUCAACUAGAUUCAUCCUAUAACUUUCCUACCAGGCUCCCGGUACAGCAGGUAUCAUCAACUAGAUUCAUCCUAUAACUUUCCUACCAGGCUCCCAGUACAGCAGGUAUCAUCAACUAGAUUCAUCCUAUAACUUUCCUACCAGGCUCCCGGUACAGCAGGUAUCAUCAACUAGAUUCAUCCUAUAACUUUCCUACCAGGCUCCCAGUACAGCAGGUAUCAUCAACUAGAUUCAUCCUAUAACUUUCCUACCAGGCUCCCAGUACAGCAGGUAUCAUCAACUAGAUUCAUCCUAUAACUUUCCUACCAGGCUCCCGGUACAGCAGGUAUCAUCAACUAGAUUCAUCCUAUAACUUUCCUACCAGGCUCCCAGUACAGCAGGUAUCAUCAACUAGAUUCAUCCUAUAACUUUCCUACCAGGCUCCCAGUACAGCAGGUAUCAUCAACUAGAUUCAUCCUAUAACUUUCCUACCAGGCUCCCGGUACAGCAGGUAUCAUCAACUAGAUUCAUCCUAUAACUUUCCUACCAGGCUCCCAGUACAGCAGGUAUCAUCAACUAGAUUCAUCCUAUAACUUUCCUACCAGGCUCCCAGUACAGCAGGUAUCAUCAACUAGAUUCAUCCUAUAACUUUCCUACCAGGCUCCCAGUACAGCAGGUAUCAUCAACUAGAUUCAUCCUAUAACUUUCCUACCAGGCUCCCAGUACAGCAGGUAUCAUCAACUAGAUUCAUCCUAUAACUUUCCUACCAGGCUCCCAGUACAGCAGGUAUCAUCAACUAGAUUCAGCUGCGGGACAAUAUUUUCUUGAGCGAUGGUCAGGGGGCCAGAACAUAAUCAACCUUAAAAAGCCCAACAGAUAUAAUAUUUGACUAAAACAUAAAAAUUUCUAACCUCGCUUAUAUUUGUAUACAUAUACAGUAUAUACAGUAUCUCUCUAUUAUGCGUAGGAAUCAUUUGGAACAGAUUUCAAAAAUUGAAAUAAAUUGGAGCUGUUUUUUGGUGUUUUUACAGUCUUUUAUGUCCAACAAUAAAAUAAAAAUGGGGGGUGGACUCAUAAAAUCAGCCACAGGCCAAAUUUGGCCCCCAGUCGAGGAACCCUGCAUUACAGGGUACUGAUGGUGAUGGUGAUG